CUGUAGAGGCCGCAAGGCCUCUGCUGAGAUUGCACCCAUUGUCUUUGGAGCACUGUACGUUUCCUCGGCAGGCCCGCCUGCCAACGGGGACCCCAUACAAACCCUUUUGCAGUACUUGCAGUAAACGUCUCAAAAACAAAACAAUUA
rnacentral:misc_RNA from 1 species